UAGUUGCCAGCAUUUAGUUGGGCACUCUAAGGAGACUGCCGGUGACAAACCGGAGGAAGGUGGGGAUGACGUCAAAUCAUCAUGCCCCUUAUGACCUGGGCUACACACGUGCUACAAUGGCAAGUACAGAGGGAAGCGAGACAGUGAUGUGGAGCGGACCCCUUAAAGCUUGUCGUAGUCCGGAUUGGAGUCUGCAACUCGACUCCAUGAAGUCGGAAUCGCUAGUAAUCGCAGGUCAGCAUACUGCGGUGAAUACGUUCCCGGGCCUUGUACACACCGCCCGUCACACCAUGGGAGUGGAUUGCACCAGAAGUGGUUAGUCUAACCUUCGGGAGGACGAUCACCACGGUGUGGUUCAUGACUGGGGUGAAGUCGUAACAAGGUAGCCGUAGGGGAACCUGCGGCUGGAUCACC
rnacentral:rRNA from 12 species